GAGAGAGACACACACACAGGCAGCGCUCCAGAAUAAUUGAUAAAUGCCGCUGAAAUAAACCAUCAAGCAGCCGCUGAAACGCCCUGAUAUUAGUGACAGGGUGACCGGGAGGUUUCCGUCUUUUCCUCGGUGACAGAGCUCGAGCAGGUGCCGGUAGUGAAGAUGGGGAACCGGGGGAUGGAGGAUCUGAUUCCUCUGGUGAACCGAAUGCAAGACGCGUUCUCCGCCAUCGGACAGAACUCCAAUCUGGACCUGCCGCAGAUCGCGGUGGUGGGCGGACAGAGCGCCGGGAAGAGCUCCGUGCUCGAGAACUUCGUGGGGAGGGACUUCCUCCCUCGUGGAUCUGGGAUCGUCACCCGUCGUCCCCUGGUCCUGCAGCUCAUCAAUUGCCCCACAGAAUAUGGCGAGUUUCUUCACUGUAAGGGGAAGAAGUUUACAGAUUUCGAUGAGAUCCGUCAGGAAAUCGAGGCGGAGACGGAUCGUGUGACGGGGCAGAACAAAGGCAUCUCACCGGUGCCGAUCAACCUGCGUGUCUGCUCACCAAACGUCUUGAAUCUGACUUUGGUGGAUCUGCCAGGAAUGACUAAAGUUCCUGUGGGCGAUCAGCCCGCUGAUAUCGAGCAUCAGAUCAGAGAAAUGCUCAUGCAGUUUGUGACUAAAGAUAACUGUCUGUUGCUCGCCGUGUCGCCCGCAAACUCUGAUCUCGCCAACUCUGAUGCGCUGAAGAUCGCCAAAGAAGUCGACCCGCAGGGUCAGCGUACUAUCGGUGUGAUCACUAAGCUGGAUCUGAUGGAUGAAGGAACCGACGCACGCGACAUCCUGGAAAACAAACUGCUGCCGCUGCGGAGAGGUUACAUUGGUGUGGUGAACCGCAGUCAGAAAGACAUUGAUGGGAAGAAAGAUAUUAACGCUGCGAUGGCGGCGGAGAGAAAGUUCUUCCUGUCUCAUCCCAGUUACAGACACCUGGCCGAUCGCAUGGGAACACCGUACCUGCAGAAAAUCCUCAACCAGCAACUGACCAAUCACAUCCGCGACACGCUGCCCGGGCUGCGCGCAAAACUGCAGAGUCAGCUGCUGUCCAUCGAGAAGGAAGUGGAGGAGUACAAGAACUUCCGUCCAGACGAUCCGUCCCGGAAGACCAAAGCCCUGCUACAAAUGGUUCAGCAGUUCUCUGUGGACUUUGACAAGCGUAUCGAAGGUUCUGGAGAUCAGAUCGACACGUAUGAGCUCUCAGGAGGAGCCAGAAUCAACCGCAUCUUCCAUGAACGAUUUCCAUUCGAGCUGGUGAAGAUGGAGUUCAAUGAGAAGGAGCUGCGUAAGGAGAUCAGUUACGCCAUCAAGAACAUUCACGGCAUCAGGACGGGCCUGUUCACCCCUGACCUUGCCUUUGAGGCCAUAGUGAAAAAGCAGAUCCAAAAGCUAAACGGGCCGUGCCUGAAAUGUAUAGAUAUGGUCGUGAGCGAACUCGCCUCCACCAUUCGCAAAUGUAGUGAGAAGCUGGCGCAGUAUCCCAUGCUGAGAGAAGAAAUGGAGCGAAUCGUCACACAGCACAUCCGGGACCGCGAGAGCCGCACUAAAGAACAGGUGUUGCUGUUGAUUGACAUCGAGCUGGCGUACAUGAACACCAAUCAUGAGGACUUCAUCGGGUUUGCCAAUGCUCAACAGAGAAGCAGUCAAACGAGCAAGAAGAAAGCGGCUGGUAAUCAGGAUGAAAUCAUGGUGAUCAGGAAGGGCUGGCUGACCAUCAACAACAUCGGCAUCAUGAAGGGCGGAGCUAAAGAGUAUUGGUUUGUCAUGACGGCCGAAUCGUUGUCCUGGUACAAGGAUGAUGAGGAGAAGGAGAAGAAGUACAUGCUGCAGGUGGAUAAUCUGAAGCUCAGAGAUGUGGAGAAAGGCUUCAUGUCCAGCAAACACAUCUUUGCCCUGUUCAACACUGAGCAGAGGAACGUGUAUAAGGACUACCGUCAGCUGGAGUUGGCGUGUGAAAGUCAGGAGGACGUGGACGGAUGGAAGGCCUCAUUCCUGCGCGCUGGCGUUUACCCUGAACGAGUGGUGGAGAAGGAGAAGAGUGACGCUAGUGAAGAGAACGGUUCGGACGGUUUCAUGCACUCUAUGGACCCUCAGUUGGAGCGGCAGGUGGAGACCAUCCGUAACCUGGUGGACUCAUACAUGGCCAUCGUCAACAAGACCGUGCGAGAUCUGAUGCCCAAAACCAUCAUGCAUCUGAUGAUCAUUAAUACGAAAGAGUUCAUUAAUGCGGAGCUGUUAGCGCAGUUGUACUCGUGCGGUGAUCAGAACACACUGAUGGAGGAGUCCGCUGAACAGGCGCAGCGGCGCGAUGAGAUGUUGCGCAUGUACUUCGCCCUUAAAGAAGCGCUCAACAUCAUCGGUGACAUCAGCACCACCACCAUCACCACGGCGCUGCCGCCACCUGUAGACGACUCCUGGCUGCAGGUGCAACGUACGGGCUCAGGGGGACGGUCUCCCGCCACCAGUCCGACCCCUCAGAGACGAGCUCCUCCUCCAGGACGCCCAGGAUCUCGCAGCUCCGCCCCGGGCCCCCCUGCUGCAGGUGGACCGCCAGUUCCCUCUCGCCCGGGGGCCUCUCCGGACCCCUCCAGCGGACCCCCACCUCAGGUCCCAUCCCGGCCUAACCGCGGUCCCCCCAGCGUGCCCAGCCGCGGAAUGUGAGAUGCUAACCAGUGUUGUGGCGCUCCCUGAACUCACUGGCCAGAAGACGACACCAAACGCCCAUGAAGGCCGGCCAAACAAGGGUGACCCCCUCUCACCCCGAGAGCUUUAGCAGCUCCUCAUCACUUCUCCUCUACUUUCUGCAUCUCUGUUUUUCUCUCAUCUCACCCUGAACGGAGUAAAACAACCCAGAACCCACCAGCACAACAGAACCCCCCAGAACACUGGACAACAGCGAGAAGAACAUCAAGGAACCCGGCAAAACAUUUAGACGUUCUAAUGAUGUGAUUAAAAGUGUUCAGGUACAGUAUGAGGAUGUGUGUUCACUCUAUGGCAAGCCAUUUGGACAUUUAAUCACACGCAGAAUACGAAUGAAAGAAAUGAUCACAAUAUUAAAGUUCUGAUUCUUGAUAUCAGCCACGGAAAUACUAAUCGAAGGGUUUAUUUCUACAUCAAUGACAUCAGUACUCUCAGAAAUGACCAUUCUUUAUAUGAAAAGAAGAUUCUUGAUAGCCGGUCUGUAACUGCACUUUCACUAUUAGAGGAGUCAUUCGCUCCCGUUCAAAACACAAUUACAGAUAUGAAAAAUAUAAGAAUAUUUCAGUCUGAUUUUUAAGAUUCACACGUUCUAAUUUCAUAACAAAAUUCCAUCAAAUUGAGUUGUGCAAUUUUUUUUUCAAAAUAACAGGAAUAAAAUGUAAAAUAUUUUAAUAUUUAAAUGUUAUUUAAUUAACACUUGUGCGACCUUCGGGACACUUUCGUCUUUUUCAUUUUUGUUUUUUCGAUCAUUUUGGCUGGGUUAAUGCCAACGGCAUACAUUUGGCCAAAGGUGUGUAUUUUUGAGGGAAUUAUUUCAACCUCAGUUCCUAUAAUGCAUCUAUAGUACAUCUAUAAUGCAUCUAUAGUACAUCUAUAAUGCAUCUAUAGUACAUCUAUAAUGCAUCUAUAGUACAUCUAUAAUGCAUCUAUAGUACAUCUAUAAUGCAUCUAUAGUACAUCUAUAAUGCAUCUAUAGUACAUCUAUAAUGCAUCUAUAGUACAUCUAUAGUACAUCUAUAAUGCGUCUAUAAUACAUCUAUGAUGCAUCUAUAAUGCAUCUAUAGUACAUCUAUAAUGCGUCUAUAAUGCUCUAUAGUACAUCUAUAAUGUAUCUAUAAUACAUGUAUAAUGCAUCUAUAAUGCGUCUAUAAUACAUCUAUGAUGCAUCUAUAAUGCAUCUAUAGUACAUCUAUAAUGCAUCUAUAAUAAAUCUAUAGUACAUCUAUAAUGCAUCUAUAAUACACAAAAUAGACACUCAGGACCUUCAGGACAAAAAUUUCCCCAUUGAAACCCAUUAAAACGGCAAUAUUUGAUCUAAGUGCCAUUAAAGCAUCAAAUCGAUAUUAUACUUAAAUUCUGGAGUCCUGACUUCAAAAUGUACAUUUGUAAUAUUUUCCUCCAGAUGGUGCAAUUUAGCUCAUGUUUAGCCUAUGGAGCAAAUACAAGCUUUUCCCCUAUUUUCUGUUUGCUGUAUUAUAGAGCAGCUGCAGGACAACUGAAUAAAUGAUGCCAAUAAAAUGUGUGUGUGUGUGUGUGUGUGUGUGUGUGUGUGUGUGUGUGUAUAAAACAACAGUGGCAUGAUGUAAACAAACUGGCAUUUAAAGGGUUAAAAUCCUGAAAAUGAAUGAAUAUUUGUUAGUUAUAAGCAGGACUGAUAUCUCACUGAAAGUGGAAAAUAAUAUAUUCCAAAUGGCAAUUUUGUGACGCGGACAUUUUUGUCCUCUAAGGACCUCUGAGUAACUUUUUUAUUGACGCACAAGUUAAAGUUUAUACUAUUCAAUUUGGCGAGGAAGGGUGGGGCGGGGGGGGGUGCGAAGGCACGGUGAGAAAGUGCGAGGCAAUCAACUGUGCUCCACAACUGCUACCGGGUCCUUGACAAAUUUAUGUCAUGCGGGUAAAGGCACCCGCUGGUGUUCCUGGUGCCCCCCGAUGGAGUUGGUGCAGAGCGGCGGUACUGCAGGUAUCUAAAAUACCAAAACUAACACGUUAAAAUAAAUAUACACAUAUUUAAAUUAUAACUGUUGAAUAUUUGAUAUGUUAAUAUCAGAGUUUAUUUACUAGUAAGAAGUGCAUUGUUAAUAUGCAAAAUUAGAAUUUCAACUAAUACAAAAUUAAUGAUAAAUAUCAGUAAUUGUGUUUUGAACAGGAGGGAAAGACGCAUCAUUAUUAAAUUAUACUAGUGAUGGUGAAGUGUAAAUGUAAUGUUAAAAAUGUGCAAUUAGUGCAAUCAGUGUCAAUGUGGCUUGCCAUAUUCACCCUCUCCGCGUGAGUUCAGAAAACAUAUAGUGAAAUCAGUUGCUUUAGCGAGGCUGGAUUGAACCGAAGAGUGCAAUAUAUAAACACAUUGAUCAACCGUAUUUACACGCUGAUCAACUAUUCAUGACAUUUUAAACAUAAUAGAGCAGCGUUUGGGUGAACAGACAUUCUCAAGUUGUGCGUUUACAGAAAUUGUUGAUUUCAUUUAAUGUAAAGUGAAUAUACUGUGUGAUACUAAUGAGCGUUCAGGUCCCUCACAUUCACUGUACAGCAAAUUCAGACUGUUUACAGAGGAAUAAGCUACUAGCAUACUGCUCAUUGUUUAUCAAUGAAAAUUAAUGCAUUUUCAAACGAAAACAGAUUAGGCCACGCCCACAUUUGCGUUUCAAAAACACUAAAUUACCUCAGACUUUGGAAAAUGAUGAUGCUUGGAAACAGAUUAUAGAAACACUAUUUUAGCUUUAAAAUAGACCACGCCCCCUCCCCCCCAAUUACUUCAGCCACACCUCUCUUUCCAAAAACCUACCCUGCAGUGACGUAAGCGAAACCGAACGCACAUAAUGAUUGACAGUCCGAUUGUUUUCUGGUAAACAUGUAAAUAAUUGUAGCCACUGAUAAAAUACAUUUGAAUACUUUGACCAAUUCGGAGUUAAAAUGUUUAUAGAAUGUUUAUAAUCGACACUGACAGGGUUGAGGCAGUUCAUGUGAUGUAAUCGCGAAUCUGUCGUCUAAUAAGGGGGAGGGGUGUGAGUUUCGCGACUUUGUGGGGUUCGCGCAUAGACUGUAAAAAAAAGAUGGCCGACGCCCCUUCGCUCUUUUCCAUUGGUGAGAACUGAAGCCGCCAGUGUCCCGAUAUGGCGCUGACAUCUUGGGACUUGAGUCUCGAUUUCGGGACCAGACCUGCGCAGUAGUGAGCAGGAAGUAAAGCAGCGAAAUCAAGGCCCCGCCCUCACUCACUGAAUCAAUCGCAAGCACACGCCCCUGCACUUUUGACUUUUGACUUAUGACGGUGUGAAAUAAUUCAUUAUAGAAAUGUAGAUAUUAAAUUUAAAGCUCCAAUCUCCUCAGUCCUCCGAAGAUCCCGAAAAAAGUCAGUUGGUGCUUCAGUGACUACUUAGCUCAGAGAACCUGUCAAUCACAGCUGUCAAUCAUGAUGUCACAGCAGCGUUUUUAUAGCAUCAAAUAACUAAAAACAAACUUAUUUUGAAAACAAACACUUGAAAUGACAUCAACGUGAUAGAAACGACAGUAAAUGACAGAAACUAUCUUUGGAAAAAAGAUAUGUGAAGUGUAAUUUAAUUGUUUAGUUGGUCUCACGUCCCGUUGAAUAACAUGGGGAGGCGGGGUUUAUGACCUAUACUAGGACCAGUCACCGGGGGGCGAUCGAGACGUUUUGGCUUCACUUUUGAGGGCUUGUGCGGCACACUUGGGUUCGCGUGAUAUGUGCGUUAACCGACCGUUUGACUGGGGGGGCUUUAAUAACGUAUAACGUGCACUCCUCGGGUAAGAUGGUGCCCCCUAGGUAGUCUGUGCCCUACGCAGACUGCGGAGACUAGGGAGUGUGCUUUUAGGGAGCAGCGGUACUUCAUCGAAAUCCCUAAAGUUUGUUCAGAUGUUGUUUGUUUUGCUGAUAAUGACAAAAUUACCUCCCCCCCCAUACCCCCUGUAUUCUACACCCCUGACUAUACUGAUCAUCAUAACACCCCUGUUGAUAAUGCCCACAUUGUGGCAUGACAAAACCCGUCUGCUGUUGCCGUGCCGUAUCAGUAUGUUUCUGUGUGUCUAUAAAAUACGCAAAAUCUUUCCUGACCGCACUGAAUCCUAGUAAAACCCAAUAAUGAGAGAGCAAGUACCGUUAUUUACGAUCAUGGACAUAUCUUAAGUGUGUUACGUGUCUCUGUGGUGCAUUUUAUGCAAAUUGUGCUUCCACUGUUAGAAUAGUGUAGUCCACAUGUACUGAAUAUUAAAGCGAUUUAUUUAAUUUAAAUGUGUAAUAAUGUGCAAAAAGAAAGGUGUAAUGAUACCGGGUGUGUAACAGGUGACAGAAUGAGUGUAAUAAUGUG